rnacentral:RNase_P_RNA from 1 species
UUUUAAAUGAACAGCUCUUUAAUCCAUAUGGGGCCUGUAGGAUGCUUAUAGCUCCCAACCCCUGGAAAGAUCUGAGACAGGGCCCUUGAGUAACCCUAUUAGGGGCACUUCUAGAGCAGGGAGCCAAGCUUCCAGACAGCUAGGCUUCAAGAGGGGGUGGGCAGACUGGGCAGGAGAGGCCAUGGGCACAGGGAAUGUACCCCGCGCACUAGAGCACAGAGCUGACUCACUGACACCAGCAAGUUCAAUGGUUGAGGUGAGGCACCUGGAGGGCCUCAUAGCCCAGUUCAAAAUACUCUUCUGAA